rnacentral:lncRNA from 1 species
CCUCUCCUCCCUCCCUGUUUUCCCCCCUCUCUUUUUCUUUCUUCCCUCUCUCCCUCUCUAUCUUUCUCUCCCUAUCUCUUCCUCUCUCCUCUCUUUCUCUGUCUCUCUGUCUCUCUCUCUCUCCUACACACACAUUCAUACACAAUUAUAAUACAUCUGCGAAUAAACCUUAAAACUGAACUUUUAAACACUUUAAAAAUUACUUUGAGCUCCAAAUUUUCUUCCCUCUUGCCACUUCCCCCACUCGUGGAGAAGGCAAGCAAUAUGACACCCAUGUGAAUGCGCUAAAACGCUGAGACACCCAGUAAUUGUGGGGGGGGAAGAGGAUACAGUCUAUAUUUAGAGAAAUGAGGUAAUUUCGGACACAAAAGGCCCAGGUACACUGCAGUAGCAUUGGAAUGGGCGUAUUUCUCACUAUUUUGGUUUAUCAUCCAUCCCCUAGAAAAUCUGAGCAAAUUGUUUACAGAGUGCCCCCGAGCUGGAGAUCAAGGGUACUAAUCACUCUCCCACUCACCAGGGUUUUUUUGAGGUCUAUAAAUUAUCUCUGGGCAAGUUGCCAUUUACCUUUACUCUUUGGGGUAGAAGAAGCUUUUUUUACUUCAGUAUCCUCCUUUGAAGAUAAACACUGGUCUUUCCUAUUCCCAUGUUUAAAUCCCACCUCUACCGGG